AGAGAUAGAUCCCAAGAUGACCACAACAACAGCAAGCUGAAAGAAUUAUACCAUUUUAAUAGAUUACAAAUGCUUUCAGAGCCCCAUAAAGGAGAUUUCAACGCCAAAUUGCUGAAUGACUUGGGGCAACAUAAUGCAUCCCAAAUUACUGCCAAAUCUCAUGAAUGUGGUUCAGAACUCGCAAUGGGAUCCCUUUACUGGGACACAAGGGAUAAUGUGU